AACGAACGCUGGCGGCAUGCCUAACACAUGCAAGUCGAACGAGACCUUCGGGUCUAGUGGCGCACGGGUUCGUAACGCGUGGGAACCUGCCCUUAGGUUCGGAAUAACUCCCCGAAAGGGGUGCUAAUACCGGAUAAUGUCUUCGGACCAAAGAUUUAUCGCCUUUGGAUGGGCCCGCGUUGGAUUAGCUAGUUGGUAGGGUAAAAGCCUACCAAGGCGACGAUCCAUAGCUGGUCUGAGAGGAUGAUCAGCCACACUGGGACUGAGACACGGCCCAGACUCCUACGGGAGGCAGCAGUGGGGAAUAUUGGACAAUGGGCGAAAGCCUGAUCCGGCAAUGCCGCGUGAGUGAUGAAGGCCUUAGGGUUGUAAAGCUCUUUUACCCGGGAUGAUAAUGACAGUACCGGGAGAAUAAGCUCCGGCUAACUCCGUG
rnacentral:rRNA from 1 species